AGUGAACGCUGGCGGCGUGCUUAACACAUGCAAGUCGAGCGGAAACAGAUAGAAGCUUGCUUCUAUGCUGUCGAGUGGCGCACGGGUGAGUAAUGUAUAGUUAAUCUGUCCCUUAGAGAGGGAUAGCCACUGGAAACGGUGAUUAAUACCUCAUACUCCUAUAUAUAUAAAGUAUAUAGGGAAAUGUCUUUUCGCUAAGGGAUGAGACUAUAUGGCAUCAGGUAGUUGGUGGGGUAAUGGCCCACCAAGCCAAUGACGCCUAGCUGGUCUGAGAGGAUGAUCAGCCACACUGGUACUGAGACACGGACCAGACUCCUACGGGAGGCAGCAGUGGGGAAUAUUGCACAAUGGAGGAAACUCUGAUGCAGCAGCGCCGCGUGGAGGAUGACGCAUUUCGGUGUGUAAACUCCUUUUAUAUGGGAAGAUAAUGACGGUACCAUAUGAAUAAGCACCGGCUAACUCCGUGCCAGCAGCCGCGGUAAUACGGAGGGUGCAAGCGUUACUCGGAAUCACUGGGCGUAAAGCGCGCGCAGGCGGCUUAAUAAGUUGGAUGUGAAAUCCUAUGGCUCAACCAUAGAACUGCAUCCAAAACUGUUAAGCUAGAGUCUGGGAGAGGAAGAUGGAAUUAGUUGUGUAGGGGUAAAAUCCGUAGAGAUAACUAGGAAUACCAAAAGCGAAGGCGAUCUUCUGGAACAGUACUGACGCUGAGGCGCGAAAGCGUGGGGAGCAAACAGGAUUAGAUACCCUGGUAGUCCACGCCCUAAACGAUGAAUGUUAGUCGUUGGAGCUCUAGUAGCUUCAGUGAUGCAGCUAACGCAUUAAACAUUCCGCCUGGGGAGUACGGUCGCAAGAUUAAAACUCAAAGGAAUAGACGG
rnacentral:rRNA from 1 species